UACGGAGGGUGCAAGCGUUAAUCGGAAUUACUGGGCGUAAAGCGUACGUAGGUGGUUUGUUAAGCCAGCUGUGAAAUCCCCGGGCUCAACCUGGGCACUGCAGUUGGAACUGGCAAGCUAGAGUAGGGUAGAGGGGUGUGGAAUUCCAGGUGUAGCGGUGAAAUGCGUAGAUAUCUGGAGGAACAUCAGUGGCGAAGGCGACACCCUGGACUCAUACUGACACUGAGGUACGAAAGCGUGGGGAGCAAACAGGAUUAGAUACCCCCGUAGUCC
rnacentral:rRNA from 1 species